rnacentral:misc_RNA from 1 species
GAUGAAGAACGCAGCGAAAUGCGAUAAGUAGUGUGAAUUGCAGAAUUCAGUGAAUCAUCGAAUCUUUGAACGCACAUUGCGCCCCUUGGUAUUCCGAGGGGCAUGCCUGUUCGAGCGUCAUUUCAACCCUCAAGCACAGCUUGGUCUUGGGCUUCGCCGCUAACCCGGCGGGUCUUAAAAUCAGUGGCGGUGCCGUCGGGCCCUGAGCGCAGUAAUCUCUCUCGCUAUAGGGUCCCGGCGGAUGCUGGCCAGUAACCCCCAAUUUUCUAUGGUUGACCUCGGAUCAGGUAGGGAUACCCGCUGAACUUAAGCAUAUCAAUAAGCGGAGGA